rnacentral:lncRNA from 1 species
AUGACGACAGCAGCUGGAGGAAGAACUGCUAUCAUGUUAACAAAUAGCUCAGUGGGAAUUUGUACACCUGUGCCGUUAGCCUCCAUCAUGCUCUUGGCAUUUUGUUUCUGUUCAGUAGCGUGCGAGUCUAAAAUUUCACUGUUUCUUUUGUGUGUGUUUUUAAUUUAUGGAAAUAAAUUUUUCUGAGAAAGUUUUAGUUUUUCUAAAGCCUUGUUUAGGUCUGUAUCAGCAACUACAACUGGUAUUUCUGUCUCACUAGUGGGGGAAGGGGUUAAAUCUGUGAAGAGGUCCAUUGACCACAUUAACUAACUGUGUGGGCUGUUACUGAAUCAUGCAGCUAUGGUUUGUCUCUAGCCUUAUAUUUGUAGAAAAAGAAGCAGAUCUGGGGGAUUUGAAGCACAAUCCUAACUGCUACUCCUAGUGUUGAGACAGCAUUUCUCUCUUAAGGUAGUAGGGUAGUAGCCUCCAGAGAGCAUAGCUCCUGCUAAGCUCAGCACCAAGAGAUGCACAGCUGAAGCAGGCUGCCGGUUCAUGUACUACAGUCUGCGCAAUGCAUCAAACUGAUGCUUUUAAACCAAAACUGAAGCACUGGGACAUCAAAAAAGGCCUACUUAAGCUUCUGUAAUGUCCAUGCUAGAAAGCAAUCCCCCUACCCUCUAAAAUCUUACAUAUAACCUAGGCUUUCAACAUACAGCCUAUUCAGGAAAAUGCAGCUGGCAUAUGGACUUGUUCACUCUGCUCUCGGAAGCCUCUGCUCUCCUCUAAGUGUGCUGUUACAUGGGUCCCACAGAUGGCAUGUAAGCUCCGGUAAAGAGAGGGAGGGAGCACCCACAGGCCUAAACUAGCACCCUGCCGUUCCCCGGCUGCUUCGAGGCUACGGCUUGCUGGCUGCGACAGCGUACGUGAGGAUUUUGUCCCCUUGCUGUACUGGGACUCGCCUACAUGCACCUUUUACUUCUCAUCCCUCUCUCUGUGAGGUGGGUGAGCUGGUGAGCUCCCUCUUGUUUGGUCAGCCAAUCCCAAAUGAUGGGCCAAAGGAGGCAGCAGUCUCAGCUAAAAUGCAGGUGAAUCUAAAGUAAACACCUUUGAGGCUGCUCAGAGUGUAAUUUUUUUUUCUUUCUCAGAAAAUGAGAAGGGGGAGGAGAGGGGCCAAUGUAAGUCUCAAGCAUAACAAGAAAGAGGAGCU